rnacentral:rRNA from 1 species
UAGGGAAUCUUGGACAAUGGGCGAAAGCCUGAUCCAGCCAUGCCGCGUGAGUGAAGAAGGCCCUAGGGUUGUAAAGCUCUUUUGGCGGGGAUGAUAAUGACGGUACCCGCAGAAUAAGCCCCGGCUAACUUCGUGCCAGCAGCUGCGGUAAUACGAAGGGGGCUAGCGUUGUUCGGAAUUACUGGGCGUAAAGCGCAUGCAGGCGGAUUGGUAAGUUAGAGGUGAAAUCCCGGGGCUCAACCUUGGAAUUGCCUUUGAUACUGCCAGUUUUGAGUCUGGGAGAGGUGAGUGGAAUUCCUAGUGUAGAGGUGAAAUUCGUAGAUAUUAGGAAGAACACCAGUGGCGAAGGCGGCUCACUGGCCCGGAACUGACGCUCAGGUGCGAAAGCGUGGGGAGCAAACAGGAUUAGAUACCCGCGUAGUCC